UUUUAACAUUUUGAUGUCGAUGCAGUUAUUGGUUCCCGUUAUUGUUGUGUUUCGUGUUUACUUCUCUACACUUUCUAUUCUAUCUUGUUGUGACCGGAGCCUCUUCCAGGUCCUUUGUACCGGAGUGAAAUGUCAAUAAAGUUGUUUGAAUCUUGAAUAAAUCGAUCAGACUCUCAUCGAUCGAUGUGAACAUUUGUAUCUGAACACGAUCAGUGGCCACAUCGUCCACAGAGGACAGACACCUGCAGGGUGAGGGGGGGGGGCUGGCAGGAGGAGGAGGAGGAGAAGAAGGAGGAGGAGGAAGAGGAGCAGUGGUGUUUUGUUCCAACUGUUGCAUCUGACCCACAACUCGAUAAACACAAACAUCAACAUGUCCUCCUGUGUCGAGCGUGUGCAGUGAUACGUGGCUCUGUCUGUCCUCGGCUGGCGAACACACGGUGCGAGGAGAAGCAGGAGGAGAAGUGCGAGGAGAAGCAGGAGGAGAAGGAGGAGGAGAAGGAGACAUUUCAGCGGGAGACCUGAACAACACAGUUACACCAAUUUAAAAAGCAACAGACUUCAGUGUACAUGAACAUGAUGCUGAUGCAAACAGGAAGCCAAGAACAUCCCACCUCCUCCAGCUGCAGAGACGCUUCAGGAUUUCCACUCAAUCACUACAUCCAUGGAGGAGAGACUUCCUCUAAACAGUUUUUAUUUCAGUUAAGAAACUAAGUUAAUGUGUUCUAAACAAGUUUUAUUGUGACGUAGCAGACAGAAUAACUGAG